AACGCACCUUGCGCUCCUUGGUAUUCCGAGGAGCAUGCCUGUUUGAGUGUCAUUAAAUUCUCAAUCUCUACAACUUUGUGUUGUCUAGAUCGGAAGUGGGGGUUUAUUGUGUGGAAUCUAAUUCCUCACUCCCCUUAAAUGCAUUAGCUGGAAUGCCUCUGCAUAUCUGACUAUCAGUGUGAUAAUUAUCUAUACUGUAGUUGUUGCAUGAGGGUAUCUGCUUCAUAAAUCGUCGCAAGACAAUUCUAUAUGACCAUCUUGACCUCAAAUCAGGUAGGACUACCCGCUGAACUUAA
rnacentral:misc_RNA from 1 species